rnacentral:rRNA from 1 species
AUUGAACGCUGGCGGCAGGCCUAACACAUGCAAGUCGAGCGAGCGGCGGACGGGUGAGUAAUGUAUGGGGACUGCCCGAUAGAGGGGGAUAACUACUGGAAACGGUAGCUAAUACCGCAUACUAUCGGAUAACCCAUAUGGGAUUAGCUAGUGGGUGAGGUAAUGGCUCACCAAGGCGACGAUCCCUAGCUGGUCUGCGAGGAUGAACAGCCACACUGGUACUGCGAAAGGGCCCAGAAGCCGACGGAGGCAGCAGUGGGGAAUAUUGCAAAAUGGGCGCAAGCCGGAUGCAGCCAUGCCGCGUGUAUGAAGAAGGCCUUAGGGUUGUAAAGUACUUUCAGUCGGGAGGCGUUACCGACAGAAGAAGCACCGGCUAACUCCGUGCCAGCAGCCGCGGUAAUAC